rnacentral:lncRNA from 13 species
AGCCGGUAUCCUUGACAACCGUUUCUGUUACAACUAAACGGAUCUUUGAAGAUGGCGCUAUAGAGGGUGGAGCGACAGACAGCCCAUAAAAGAAACCUGCCCCCUAAGGCAGUAGCGAUUUUGUGGGCCAUUACGUGAGCUCGUGGUGGAUCGUUGGCGUUGGCGUAUUGGCUGCAAGUGCCGGACUUCUUCCACCAACUUUUUCCUGCAACUCCGUGUACCAAACCUCCAAGCACUGAUCCUUCCCACCAAUAAGGAGUGAAGGCCUGGGGUGUGACGCAUUUACCAGUUAUAUGAAAGGAGACAGCAGCAGGAGGGGACCAGACUGGAUUGCAGAAAACUUCCGAGGAGUGUGGAGUGCUGCACAAGUGACUUGUUUCAGAUUGCUAUAUAAUCCAUUUCUUUCAAACCUGUGGAGGUGUGUGUCCGAACUUGAUUUCCUCAUUGCUGUCAAUUUUCAGCUGAACUUGCAAAACAGAUUGGAAAUUCAAGAUUAUCAAUAAUC